rnacentral:rRNA from 1 species
AAUGAACGCUGGCGGCAGGCCUAACACAUGCAAGUCGAACGGCAGCACCGUAAGAGGUUGCUCUUACGGGUGGCGGGUGGCGGAAGGGUGACGUAUGCAUCGGAAACUUCUUUUUCGGGGGGGCUAACGGAGGGAAACUUACGCUAAUAAAGGAUAUGACGUACGGGUGUGAGCAGGGGAUCUUCGGGCCUUGUGCGAUUGUAUGAGCCGAUGUCGGAUUCGAUCGUUAGCGGGGUAAAGAGACAGCUAGGCUACGAUCGGUAGCUGGUCCGAGAGGAUGGUCAGCCACACUGGAACUGAGACACGGUCCAGACUCCUACGGUAGGCCGCAGUGGGGAAUAUUAGGCAAUGGGCGAAAGCCUGAUCCAGCCAUACCGCGUGGGUGAUGAAGGCCUUCGGGUUGUAAAGCCCUUUUGUUGUGAAAGAAAAGCAGCAGUUUAACACGCCGCUGUUCUGACGGUACCCAAAGAAUAAGCACCGGCUAACUCCGUG